UACGUAGGUGGCAAGCGUUAUCCGGAUUUAUUGGGCGUAAAGAGAACGCAGGCGGUCUUUUAAGUCUGAUGUGAAAGCCUUCGGCUUAACCGGAGUAGUACAUUGGAAACUGGUAGACUUGAGUGCAGGAGAGGAGAGUGGAAUUCCAUGUGUAGCGGUGAAAUGCGUAGAUAUAUGGAGGAACACCGGUGGCGAAAGCGGCUCUCUGGCCUGUAACUGACACUGAGGCUCGAAAGCGUGGGGAGCAAACAGG
rnacentral:rRNA from 1 species